UACGGGGGGGGGCAAGCGUUGUUCGGAAUUACUGGGCGUAAAGGGCUCGUAGGCGGCCAACUAAGUCGGAUGUGAAAUCCCCAGGCUUAACCUGGGAACUGCAUCUGAUACUGGAUGGCUUGAAUCCGGGAGAGGGAUGCAGAAUUCCAGGUGUAGCGGUGAAAUGCGUAGAUAUCUGGAGGAAUACCGGUGGCGAAGGCGGCAUCCUGGACCGGCAUUGACGCUGAGGCGCGAAAGCCAGGGGAGCAAAGCGGG
rnacentral:rRNA from 1 species